rnacentral:rRNA from 1 species
UACGUAGGUGGCAAGCGUUGUCCGGAAUUAUUGGGCGUAAAGCGCGCGCAGGCGGUUUCUUAAGUCUGAUGUGAAAGCCCACGGCUUAACCGUGGAAGGUCAUUGGAAACUGGGAGACUUGAGUGCAGAAGAGAAGAGCGGAAUUCCACGUGUAGCGGUGAAAUGCGUAGAGAUGUGGAGGAACACCAGUGGCGAAGGCGGCUCUUUGGUCUGUAACUGACGCCUGAGGCGCGAAAGCGUGGGGAGCGAACAGG